UACAGAGGUCUCAAGCGUUGUUCGGAUUUAUUGGGCGUAAAGAGCUCGUAGGCGGUUCGGUAAGUCGGGUGUGAAAACUUUGGGCUUAACCCAAAGCGUGCACUCGAUACUGCCAUGACUAGAGUUCGGUAGGGGAGUGGGGAAUUCCUAGUGUAGCGGUGAAAUGCGCAGAUAUUAGGAGGAACACCGGUGGCGAAGGCGCCACUCUGGGCCGAAACUGACGCUGAGGAGCGAAAGCGUGGGUAGCAAACAGG
rnacentral:rRNA from 1 species